AGUGAACGCUGGCGGUAGGCUUAACACAUGCAAGUCGAACGGCAGCACAGUAAGAGCUUGCUCUUACGGGUGGCGAGUGGCGGACGGGUGAGGAAUACAUCGGAAUCUACUUUUUCGUGGGGGAUAACGUAGGGAAACUUACGCUAAUACCGCAUACGACCUACGGGUGAAAGCAGGGGAUCUUCGGACCUUGCGCGAUUGAAUGAGCCGAUGUCGGAUUAGCUAGUUGGCGGGGUAAAGGCCCACCAAGGCGACGAUCCGUAGCUGGUCUGAGAGGAGGAUCAGCCACACUGGAACUGGGACACGGUCCAGACUCCUACGGGAGGCAGCAGUGGGGAAUAUUGGACAAUGGGCGCAAGCCUGAUCCAGCCAUACCGCGUGGGUGAAGAAGGCCUUCGGGUUGUAAAGCCCUUUUGUUGGGAAAGAAAAGCAGCAGGUUAAUACCCCGCUGUUCUGACGGUACCCAAAGAAUAAGCACCGGCUAACUUCGUG
rnacentral:rRNA from 1 species